UUUAUCCCCGGGGAACUAACAUAUCAAUAAGCGGAGGAAAAGAAACUAACAAGGAUUCCCCUAGUAACUGCGAGUGAAGCGGGAAAAGCUCAAAUUUAAAAUCUGGCGGUCUCUGGCCGUCCGAGUUGUAAUCUAGAGAAGUAAUGCCCGUGCUGGACCGUGUAUAAGUCUCCUGGGAUGGGGCGUCAUAGAGGGUGAGAAUCCCGUCUUUGACACGGACUACCAGUGCAUUGUGGUAUGCUCUCAAAGAGUCGAGUUGUUUGGGAAUGCAGCUCAAAAUGGGUGGUAAAUUCCAUCUAAAGCUAAAUAUUGGCGAGAGACCGAUAGCGAACAAGUACCGUGAGGGAAAGAUGAAAAGAACUUUGGAAAGAGAGUUAAACAGUACGUGAAAUUGCUGAAAGGGAAACGCUUGAAGUCAGUCGCGUUGGCCGGGAAUCAGCCUUGCUUUUGCUUGGUGUACUUUCUGGUUUGACGGGUCAGCAUCAAUUUUGAUCGCUGGAAAAGGACCUGGGGAAUGUGGCAGCUUCGGCUGUGUUAUAGCCCCUAGUCGCAUACAGUGGUUGGGAUUGAGGAACUCAGCACGCCGCAAGGCCGGGUUUCGACCACGUUCGUGCUUAGGAUGCUGGCAUAAUGGCUUUAAGCGACCCGUCUUGAAACACGGACCAAGGAGUCUAACAUGCCUGCGAGUAUUUGGGUGGAAAACUCAAGUGCGUAAUGAAAGUGAAAGUUGAGAUCCCUGUCGUGGGGAGCAUCGACGCCCGGACCAGAACUUUUGGGACGGAUCCGCGGUGGAGCAUGUAUGUUGGGACCCGAAAGAUGGUGAACUAUGCCUGAAUAGGGUGAAGCCAGAGGAAACUCUGGUGGAGGCUCGUAGCGAUUCUGACGUGCAAAUCGAUCGUCAAAUUUGGGUAUAGGGGCGAAAGACUAAUCGAACCAUCUAGUAGCUGGUUCCUGCCGA
rnacentral:rRNA from 1 species